rnacentral:piRNA from 1 species
UGAAAAUUAGCCUCAACACUGAAAGCAUUUU